rfam:Oryza nivara chromosome 4, whole genome shotgun sequence.
AAAGACUGUUGUUUUACACUGCUUAUGUCCAAUGUUUAACCGUCCGUCUUAUUUGAAAAAAAAUUUAUGAUUAGUAUUUUUAUUAUUAUUAGAUGAUAAAAUAUGAAUAAUACUUUAUGUGUGACUAAUUUUUUUAAAAAAAAUUAUAUUUUUUUUCAAAUAACAUGGACGGUCAAACGUUGGACACGAAAACUCACAACUGCACUUAAA